rnacentral:tRNA from 1 species
AGGGAUAUAGCUCAGUGGUAAAGCAUAUGCUUAGCAUGCACAAGGUCCUGGGUUCAAUCCCCAGUAACUCCA